rnacentral:rRNA from 1 species
CAACGCCGCGUGAGUGAUGAAGGCCUUCGGGUCGUAAAGCUCUGUCAAGUGGGAAGAACCUGCCUUGUGAUAAUACCACGAGGCACUGACGGUACCACUGAAGGAAGCACCGGCUAACUCCGUGCCAGCAGCCGCGGUAAUACGGGGGGUGCUAGCGUUAUUCGGAAUCAUUGGGCGUAAAGGGCGCGUAGGCGGUCUCUUAAGUCAGAUGUGAAAGCCCUCGGCUUAACCGAGGAAGUGCAUUUGAAACUAAGGGACUUGAGUAUGGGAGAGGGAAGCGGAAUUCCUGGUGUAGCGGUGAAAUGCGUAGAUAUCAGGAGGAACACCGGUGGCGAAGGCGGCUUCCUGGACCAAUACUGACGCUGAGGCGCGAAGGCGUGGGGAGCAAACAGGAUUAGAUACCCUGGUAGUCCACGCAGUAAACGGUGAACACUAGGUGUAGCGGGUAUUGACCCCUGCUGUGCCGAAGCUAACGCAUUAAGUGUUCCGCCUGGGAAGUACGGCCGCAAGGUUA